UGGGGAAUUUUGGACAAUGGGCGAAAGCCUGAUCCAGCAAUGCCGCGUGUGUGAAGAAGGCCUUCGGGUUGUAAAGCACUUUUGUCCGGAAAGAAAUCCUUGGCUCUAAUACAGUCGGGGAUGACGGUACCGGAAGAAUAAGCACCGGCUAACUACGUGCCAGCAGCCGCGGUAAUACGUAGGGUGCAAGCGUUAAUCGGAAUUACUGGGCGUAAAGCGUGCGCAGGCGGUUUGCUAAGACCGAUGUGAAAUCCCCGGGCUCAACCUGGGAACUGCAUUGGUGACUGGCAGGCUAGAGUAUGGCAGAGGGGGGUAGAAUUCCACGUGUAGCAGUGAAAUGCGUAGAGAUGUGGAGGAAUACCGAUGGCGAAGGCAGCCCCCUGGGCAAUACUGACGCUCAUGCACGAAAGCGUGGGGAGCAAACAGGAUUAGAUACCCUGGUAGUCCACGCCCUAAACGAUGUCAACUAGUUGUUGGGGAUUCAUUUCCUUAGUAACGUAGCUAACGCGUGAAGUUGACCGCCUGGGGAGUACGGUCGCAAGAUU
rnacentral:rRNA from 1 species